rfam:Parcubacteria (Nomurabacteria) bacterium GW2011_GWA2_40_9 TT24_C0038, whole genome shotgun sequence.
GCCGAUGUAGCUCAGGUAGUAGAGCAACACUUUCGUAAAGUGUGGGUCGACAGUGCAAGUCUGUCCAUCGGCU